rnacentral:lncRNA from 1 species
GUAGUAAUAAUUUCAACUAUAAUCAAUUGAGAAUUUACUUUGAUUGAUUAGCUUUUAAUUUGGUUAGGAGAUUUAAGAAUAGAUAUGAUUAAACACAAUAAAUUUGAUUGAGAAUGUACUUUGGUUGAAUUCAUUGUGAAUAAUCUAAAAAGGUCUUGCAUUUGAUUGAGAAUGUACUUUGAUUAACUGCAUGAUCGCCCUCAAAUUAAUUAAGAAUGUACUUUAAUUAAUUUGAAACUUAAACAAUAAUCAAUUGAACAAUGACCUGUGAAUAACCGAUGAUGAAUCUAUUUUGGAAAAGCAGUGGAAUAACCUG